UUUAGGGAGACCUACUUUUGGGUUUGUGCUCACCAAGUUGUAAAACAACUGAGGAGUAAGAAAAAAAACUCAAAAGACAUCCCGAGGUCGGUCGCAAGCUUGCAAGUGUUAGCUUUCAAACUAUAAGUAAGGUUCAAAUAUGGGCUAUUAGCUCAGGUGGUUAGAGCGCACCCCUGAUAAGGGUGAGGUCCCUGGUUCGAGUCCAGGAUGGCCCACCUGAAGAGAAUUCAAAAGUCAACUUGAAGAACUUGUGAUUGUUAGAUUAGAAGUUUGAAAUUUGAGAUUUGAAUUUUAGUAGGGGGGUAUAGCUCAGUUGGUAGAGCGCCUGCUUUGCAAGCAGGAUGUCAGGAGUUCGAGUCUCCUUACCUCCACCUGCGCCAAUAAAUUUGUAAUUCGCACAGAGUGUACUCAAAAGCCAGUAAAGGAAACAGAGUACAGUUUGAAGUGAGACAAACAAAGGCAAAGUAAGUGUCCGAAAGAAAAAUAGUGGGUAAGAUUCAGCAUCUUGUGAACAGAAGCAAGACUGCUGGAAAGAAUCCAGCAAAGGAACCUUGAAAACUGCAUAGAAACGCGAAAUUUGUCAGGUAGUUAACUAAAAACAGUUAACACUCCAAACAAAAACACCAAUGAUUGU
rnacentral:tRNA from 1 species